CAGUAGCCGCGGUAACACAGAGGAUGCAAGCGUUAUCCGGAAUGAUUGGGCGUAAAGUGUCUGUAGGUGGCUUUUCAAGUCCGCCGUCAAAUCCCAGGGCUCAACCCUGGACAGGCGGUGGAAACUACCAAGCUGGAGUAUGGUAGGGGCAGAGGGAAUUUCCGGUGGAGCGGUGAAAUGCGUUGAGAUCGGAAAAAACACCAACGACGAAAGCACUCUGCUGGGCCGACACUGACACUUAGAGACGAAAGCUAGGGGAGCAAAUGGGAUUAGAUACCCGCGUAGUCCCUGUCUCUUAUAA
rnacentral:rRNA from 1 species